rnacentral:rRNA from 1 species
CACUCCUGCGGGAGGCAGCAGUGGGGAAUAUUGGACAAUGGGCGCAAGCCUGAUCCAGCCAUGCCGCGUGAGUGAUGAAGGCCCUAGGGUUGUAAAGCUCUUUCACCGGUGAAGAUAAUGACGGUAACCGGAGAAGAAGCCCCGGCUAACUUCGUGCCAGCAGCCGCGGUAAUACGAAGGGGGCUAGCGUUGUUCGGAUGUACUGGGCGUAAAGCGCACGUAGGCGGACUAUUAAGUCAGGGGUGAAAUCCCGGGGCUCAACCCCGGAACUGCCUUUGAUACUGGUAGUCUUGAGUUCGAGAGAGGUGAGUGGAAUUCCGAGUGUAGAGGUGAAAUUCGUAGAUAUUCGGAGGAACACCAGUGGCGAAGGCGGCUCACUGGCUCGAUACUGACGCUGAGGUGCGAAAGCGUGGGGAGCAAACAGGAUUAGAUACCCGAGUAGUCC